rnacentral:rRNA from 1 species
CGAAAGUUCGUAGUGACCUGCGGAGGAUCAUUA